rnacentral:piRNA from 1 species
CUCGUCCAUUUUGUGCUUCUGCUUG